UUAGGUUUAAACCCUAAAUAUGAAUAAAUAUCUCAUAUU
rnacentral:tRNA from 1 species